CCCUAACACAAAAAAAAAACAAAGUAACAGGUGCUGAUUUCUUCUUCGGCUUUUUAUUUUGAUUCCGGUUUUCAUUGUGUUUUCCAUUGUCGUUUUGGACUGCAAAUUGUGCUGAGGCCAAAGUGGUACUUGGUGCAAGCGGAUAUGGUUAGAUAUUAAAGUUAGCACAGCUAAUUUAAGAUAAGUUUAAUAAGGGCUAUUCAUUACACUCGAGUUAUUUUUCGGGGUCACGCAUUGAGAUGUGAGUUUAAUCUUGCCCAACAGCCCAGCGACUAAUCAAUGAUAAAUUCAGGGCUAGAAACACUGAAAGUUAAGGGAACUCAAACACUAUGUGCAAAAUAAAAUAACAAGCAAAUAAUAUAAAUGCAACUGGUUACUAACUAACACGUAAGAGCGAAAAACAUGUUUCAGCGCCACACAAAAAUGUCAUUUUAAAUUUGCUUAUACUAAAUACAUGACAAAAGUCAUACAUUUUGAAUUAAACAAACAUUAAUCAGCUAUAAAAUUACCGCAUCGAACUCGAAGCCACCGCAGGAAGAUACGUAUCUAUAUGGAAUUUCACCAGCUCGCCGUUUCAAGGUCUCUGGAAACCGCGGAGCAUCCGACAACAAUUGUAACUAAAAGAUCGAAGACAGGCGCAUUUUAUGAGUUAAUACGCCCCAUAAGUACGGCACCCAUUCCACCGACCAAGUUAUGAUAUAUGAGCCGUAAAUUGAAACUUUAUAUCAAUGCCGACUCGCUGGGGAGAGAUUUGCAUACAUACUCGUACAGUAUUAUUACAGCAUCGGCAUCUGCGGUAGGCUUUAACGACGUGUUUUUGUCCGCUGGCAGAAAUGGAAAUAAAACUAAAAGUAUGAAACAGUACAAAACAGCAUUUAUUAAUUGGCCGAGGAACCUGCCCACGUAAUCAUCGAACAGCCAUAAAAUAGUGUCCUCCGCUAAGGAAACCGAUGGUGCCCAGCUGGCCAAAAAAAUGACGACACCUCGGAUCGCAGACUGUCAUUAAAAUCGCAGAAGCCCGUCGCUGCAGUUGUCGCAGUUUUAUGAGCCAAUCACUAAUGAAUUAAUUAGCCAACUGCGUUGGCUUACACCCAAUAAAAAUGAUAAUUAUUAGCCAAA